GUGCCCUCCUUCAACUGGACGCAGGGAGGCGGUGGGUGGGGCAGGGGCCAGAAAACAAGUCAACUUCUAACUUCCCCUUCACCACGGGCGGCAUGUUUCUCACGUCCGUCUUCAUUGGCUCACCCACCAGAGCCAACUGAUAGCCAGACUACGAAACGACAGUCAGGUCCAGCAGCUGAGGCGAGGCGGAGCUCCACGCAGACCCACUCUGUUUCCAUCCAGCCAAUCAGCGCCAGCAUCCAUUGGUCACGUGGUCAUCGUGCACAUGCGCACACGAGAGAACGCCUCAUUCAGGUCCUGGCGUGGCGGAGGAGCCGGGCCAUAGUUUCUUGCUGCGUGUUGAAACUCUUCUCCAGUUGUACUCUCGCGGGUAAUUUCCCUGCGAAUAGCCCCACCAGGUUCCCCAGGAUGGAGAUGAAUUCCAGAGAUGAAUUUUGCUGUAUUCAACACAGCACAUUGCAUUUAAAAUGGAAGAGCCAAGAAGAAACCACCAGUCACUGGUCUGGGGAACAUAGACGGCCAGCCAUACAUGGUACUCGGGAAGCAGGGGGUGUCAGGGGGCUUCUUGGCAGUUCUGCUUAUAAUCAGAUGAUCUUGAAGAGAAGUGGAAAAGGAAGAACCAGGGCCAGUUGAACACAGGGAAUUUUCUACAGAAUAUCAGGUACGUGCAGCAGCAGGAAGAGGCUGAUACUCAGCACUCAUCGAGUUUCUCAUCUGGGGAAUCUUAGCCACAUUAUGGCCAAUCUUCAGAUACUGCUGGGAGGCAUAACUAGCCCCCAUUUUACAGAUGAGUAACCUGAGGCNNNNNNNNNNNNNNNNNNNNNNNNNNNNNNNNNNNNNNNNNNNNNNNNNNNNNNNNNNNNNNNNNNNNNNNNNNNNNNNNNNNNNNNNNNNNNNNNNNNGCUGGGAGGCAUAACUAGCCCCCAUUUUACAGAUGAGUAACCUGAGGCUCACACAUAUUUGAAAACUUGCUCAAGUUAAGUGUCAGAGGCAGGAUCCAGACCCACAUCUGGUGGACACCAGUGUCUGUUCUGUAUGCCUCCAAGUUCAUGCUGGGGACAGAAACCAGACCCAAGAGCUGAUCCCUGGAGGCUGGCCAGACCCACGCCACAGUUGGCUGACUUACCCGUAAACUUAAACCAGGGAGCUGAGAGCCCAGACAGGCUGCAGAAACCCUGUUCAUGGUUUGCAGCCUUCGCUGGUCUGGCAGGGUGGAGGGGAAUUUUCCUCAGCUACUUCUAAGCUCUUCUGGUGUCUCUGGGACCCUAUUUGGAGGCUCAUAGGCCUCUUCAUGAAUUGAACUUUCCAUCCCUGGCAGGGGCCCCUCUUCUUCCUUGAGACACAGCCCAUCAGGAACCCCUCCCACAUUAGGCCCCCAUUCCUCCACCUUGUGGAGGUAUCAGAGCUGGACUUGGGGAGAAUGUGGUGGUCAGUCCACCAGCUGGUGUAGACAAGCUGUAAAGCUCUGCACACAAACAGCUUGGCCCCCGUGGAGAAGGAUGGCCACCCAGGGCUGUCCCUACCCACUUUUCCUGCUGCCCAUCAGAGCUCUUAACUCACUUUCUUUGGCCAGAGAGACUGGUGGGGGAGGGGCAGCCAAGCUGUGCCCACAGGGCAACUCUGCUCCUAUAUUUAAACCCAAAGAUGUGUCCACAUCUGUUGAACCUCCCUCCCCUCUGUGAACCCUUUCCCAGCCUCCCCUUCCCUCCCCCAACUCCCCUGAUGGUCCUGGGUGCCCCAUUACUGUUCAGAACACCCCAGACUUAAGUAGUUGGGAGAAAAAAGUACCUGAUGAGCAUCACACUUUAGACUGCUUCUACCCCUCCAAAUCCCUCUUGACCUCCAUGGAGGACUUGACGUCUGUUUACCCAUCAUGGCAAGUGGUGUACACACGCCAUCUUGUGACCUCCUUAGGAAAUGAUUAUUCUGGAGGCCCCUCUCCUUGUAUGGACAUCAGCAGCUCGCCAGCCAUCUCCAGCGACUCCUUAGCGCCCAGCAGAUCGCAAGGUUCCAGGCUUUGCUUAGUCAUUGCAGGAUGGCUGGGCGUAUGGCCGCCUCCAGCCCAACGCUAUUAUAAAUAGCCUUGCUGCCUCCCAGUGUUUUUGCCCUGAAUCACCCACUGCUUAGCUGUUUAACUGUUUCCUGGGGAGGGUCCUCCCUCACAGGGAAGCAGGAAUGUGCUUUAACCUCUGGAAUCCCACUCCCUGCCCGCAGUGAUGCUGAGUCCAGGAAGAGCUUCAUAAAAGAAUUAGCCACUUCUUGAGCCCUUGCUCUGCGCCAGGGACAAGAUAAAGCAUUUUCCAUGUGUUUUCUCAUCUAAUCCUCAGAGUGUCCCUGUGCAGUCGGGGCCAUUGGGGUUCUUACUGUAUAAAUGGGGAAACUGGCCCUUAAAGCGAUUAAGGAAUUCUCCC
rnacentral:lncRNA from 1 species